CUCACUGUUGUGGCCUCUCCCGUUGCGGAGUACAGGCUCCAGACGCGCAGGCUCAGCAGCCAUGGCUCACGGGCCUAGCCGCUCCGCGGCAUGUGGGAUCUUCCCGGACCGGGGCUUGAACCCGUGACCCCUGCAUCGGCAGGCGGACCCUCAACCUCUGCGCCACCAGGGAAGCCCCACAGAAGCAAAUGUAAAUCAGCAUUUUCAGGGCACAUGGAGAAAAGAAGGAACACCAGCUCACCUCCAACAGACAUGCCAAGUAGAGGACUUCCGUAACAGUGAAAGGCAGGGGCCAAGGCUCAGAGCCUUUGCACAAGAAACGGCCCAGGAGCCCAAAUGGACUAAGAAGACACCAGGUUCCAACUUGUUUGGGGAAGCCCCCAGUUGACAAGAAGUGUGGUUCCGUAGUUAUUGUCACAAACCAUCCCAAAGCUGAUCUUCUCCAUCCUGGAUGUUGCACUGGGACCCUCACCCUCGCCAGAUCUCAGUCCCAGCAGUGAGAGAAACUCCAGUCCCUGCGAAGAUCUGUGGUUAGAUGACUGAACCCGCUCUCGCCCAUGACGCAGGUGACUUGCAGGGUUAGUUGGUGACCCACAGAGCCACACACACAGCUGGCUCAGGAUUUGGAGAAGCAGAUGGAGAAGACUGGGCUGGAGCAAGAGGGACAAUGGACUCACAGCUGCCACACACC